rnacentral:rRNA from 1 species
GCCUUCCCGGUGAGUCUGCGGGCUUAAACGGACGCGGUAAAGCGUGCUAAGGUAGCUAAAUUAUGGCCUAUUAAUUGUAGGUCCUGUGAAUGGUUUGACGAGUCUUCAACUGUCUCUAGUUUUUUUGGUGAACUUGAAUUGGAUGUGCAAAUGCUUCCAUGGGUAAGAAAGACGAGAAGACCCCGUGAAGUUAGAAAUUUUGGUUGUUGGUGAGCUUUGUUGGGUGUAGGUUAGGCCACUUUAAGUGGUUUGAAAGAAAAGUGAACAGCGAUAGUUUUGGCUGGGGCAGCAAAGAAGCAAGGUUAGACUUCUUUAGUUUAAGGACAGGUGUGUGACGACCCACAAGUUUGUUGGUGUGAUUAGCAGAAGAAGUUACUCCGGGGAUAACA